AGCGAAUGCUGGCGGCAGGCCUAACACAUGCAAGUCGAACGAAGUCUUCGGACUUAGUGGCGGACGGGUGAGUAACACGUGGGAACGUACCUUUUGGUUCGGAACAACUCAGGGAAACUUGAGCUAAUACCGGAUGAGCCCUUAGGGGGAAAGAUUUCUCGCCGAAAGAGCGGCCCGCGUUAGAUUAGCUAGUUGGUGAGGUAAAGGCUCACCAAGGAUACGAUCUAUAGCUGGUCUGAGAGGAUGAUCAGCCACACUGGGACUGAGACACGGCCCAGACUCCUACGGGAGGCAGCAGUGGGGAAUCUUGCGCAAUGGGCGAAAGCCUGACGCAGCCAUGCCGCGUGAAUGAUGAAGGUCUUAGGAUUGUAAAAUUCUUUUACCAGGGACGAUAAUGACGGUACCUGGAGAAAAAGCCCCGGCUAACUUCGUGCCAGCCGCCGCAGUAAGAC
rnacentral:rRNA from 1 species